CAAACCAUCAGAUCUUCACAUAUCACGCUCCCAAAAGACUCCUUCACUUCUCCUCCCGCCGCCACAGAUCGCCGCCUCCCACCAUCACCGAUCGAACUUCCACCGAUGGAAACUAAUGAUGGUCGACAACAAUGGACGCAUGAGGCUAUCAAAUGCAUGUUAGAAACAUGUCUUGAAGAAAUAGGGAGAGUAGGUAGAAAUGGACAAAGCUUGCGUAGAGAGUUUUGGGGUAGGGUAGGAGCGAAACUUAAGGAAGAGUUUGGAUUUGAUGUUUACAUUUCUCGUGGCCGGAUGGGAAGGAGUGGCACAUGAUUCUAGAAUAUUGUCCGAAUCUUUAACAAAUGCAAAUGCACCAUUUCCAUUUCCUCCUCCGGAUAAAUAUUAUCUAUGUGAUGCUGCUUAUGCACACACUCGAGGCUUUAUGGCACCAUAUAGAAAUGUGAGGUAUUGGCUUGGAGAUUUCCGUCGAAAUCGUGCAUUAAACGACAAGGAAAAAUUCAACCACGCACAUGCAAAGCUUAGAAAUGUUAUUGAACGUGCGUACGGUGUAUUAAAAGCACGUUUUCCAAUAUUAAAGAAAAUGGCUCCCUUUUCGUUGGUUACGCAAUGAACUAUUACCGUUGCAUGUUUUGCGCUUCAUAAUUUUAUACGGAAAGAGGGUUUAAGCGAUGAUCUUUUUGAUGAAUAUGAUCACCCAAAUGUACACCUUCAAGAUGGAGAUGAACAUGUACAAGAUGGUGGUGAAAAUAGAGAAGAAGAAGUACCACGACAUGGAAGUUCAGCGGACCGUGAAUUUAUGAGUCAACUUCGAGAUCAAAUAGCACAAGAAUUAAUGCAAAACAAUGUACUUUGAGUUUAUUUUACUAUUUUUUAGGUUAUUGAUACUUGGUGCUAUUAUGGUUUUUUUAUGUAACUUGAAUGUUAAAUGACUUUUAUCAACUAUGAUAAGUAUGAUAGUUAAAUAAUUUUCAGCUUAUACAGACGAUAUCCAGUUUAUAAAACAAACAGUA